rnacentral:tRNA from 1 species
CAGGGAAUAGUUUAAACAGAACAUUAG